ACGAGGGCGACGCAAGAAACCCGUGAUGGAGGAGCCCGUGCCGGUCAGCACUGGCAUGAGUGAUGAGUGGCCAAGUUGAUUUUGGUAUCCGACAUCCUCCACAACAGCAGCAGUGGACACGUGCAGAAUGCCGGGUACUACAGGAAUGGCUACGAGUGAUGAACUGCUUCCGCGCAUGGGAAGACGGGGCGUUGUAUCCCCCCAAAUACCUGAUCAAACUGCAGAACGUCUUCCUGGGUUUGGAGCCGGGCGAUGGGUACCCGUUUAUCUGACCGCCUUCCCGUCCGCCACAAUCUGUUGCCCAGCUUCAUGGAUGCCGAUGUGGAUGGUGUACCCAUUGAUGAAGAUGUCGACGGAGCGCCCUUGGAAGAACCGGCUGCCACCGAGACCAAACCGGCCCCGUCGAGAUGUGAGACCGCGCAUCCCGAACAAGUGAACGCCCAAGGCAU